AUUGCCAAAGGAACAGCUUACUCUGGCAGGGCUGACUGGACACCACAUUGCUGCAACUGUACUAAGAUUACUUGGCCGCACCCGUGAAGCUCUCCUUUUAAUGUCUUAGAAAUCUAUAUUUUCCCUGCUAUAAGGCUUACUGAUUGAAGCUGCCUCAGAGAACAAAGCCAAAAGAUAGAUGGAAGCUUAAGAUGUUGCUGAGCCUACAGUUCUACACUGAUUUUUGUACCCUCUAUAUAAUUCCUAGUAAUUAGUUUAUAUGUGAGGCACUGACAACAUUGGUGAUAUGCAUUUUCUCCCGUUCAUUAAUUCUUCCUUUCACUAUCAUUAACAAUAUUAGGCAAUUUCUUGCCAUUUAUCAAUAAGAUUUUGAUGAUGAACGUAAAUUUAGAAUCCUGUCCAUUUGUUUAAGGAAU
rnacentral:misc_RNA from 1 species